CUGUACUUGUAGUCUCUUCCUGUGUCGUAUCCAAGCCACCUGCAUGACCAGCACUAUGUCUGCUCAUCACUCAUUCUCAGUUCUGCUUUCAGGUCCAGUAUGAACACAGCUCUCGUAAUACUCGUCUUCUCAUCACUGUGGAAUGCAGGCUCUGCUGCAGAGAAUGAUGUCACACAGACACCUGGAAUAUUGUGGAAACACCAUGGAGAUUCUGCGGAGAUGAAAUGUAGUCACACUAAGGGUGCUGGUUACAAUCAAAUGUACUGGUACCGACAGCGCCAGGGGGAGACCAUGAGUCUGGUAGUGUUCACUACUUCAGGCGGCACAAAAGAGUUUGGAAACUUCAAUGAAAGUAAAUAUUCCACUGUUAAAACUGUGCCUGAGAGGGGAUCGUUAACAGUGACUUCAGUGGAGUCUGAUGACAGUGGCAUUUACUUCUGUUCAGUGAGUGAACACAGUGUAGCAGAUUCCAUACAGAGCUGA